GACGAACGCUGGCGGCGUGCUUAACACAUGCAAGUCGAACGGAAAGGCCCUGCUUUUGUGGGGUGCUCGAGUGGCGAACGGGUGAGUAACACGUGAGUAACCUGCCCUUGACUUUGGGAUAACUUCAGGAAACUGGGGCUAAUACCGGAUAGGAGCUCCUGCUGCAUGGUGGGGGUCGGAAAGUUUCGGCGGUUGGGGAUGGACUCGCGGCUUAUCAGCUUGUUGGUGGGGUAGUGGCUUACCAAGGCUUUGACGGGUAGCCGGCCUGAGAGGGUGACCGGCCACAUUGGGACUGAGAUACGGCCCAGACUCCUACGGGAGGCAGCAGUGGGGAAUAUUGCACAAUGGGCGGAAGCCUGAUGCAGCAACGCCGCGUGCGGGAUGACGGCCUUCGGGUUGUAAACCGCUUUCGCCUGUGACGAAGCGUGAGUGACGGUAAUGGGUAAAGAAGCACCGGCUAACUACGUGCCAGCAGCCGCGGUGAUACGUAGGGUGCGAGCGUUGUCCGGAUUUAUUGGGCGUAAAGGGCUCGUAGGUGGUUGAUCGCGUCGGAAGUGUAAUCUUGGGGCUUAACCCUGAGCGUGCUUUCGAUACGGGUUGACUUGAGGAAGGUAGGGGAGAAUGGAAUUCCUGGUGGAGCGGUGGAAUGCGCAGAUAUCAGGAGGAACACCAGUGGCGAAGGCGGUUCUCUGGGCCUUUCCUGACGCUGAGGAGCGAAAGCGUGGGGAGCGAACAGGCUUAGAUACCCUGGUAGUCCACGCUGUAAACGGUGGGUACUAGGUGUGGGGUCCAUUCCACGGGUUCCGUGCCGUAGCUAACGCUUUAAGUACCCCGCCUGGGGAGUACGGCCGCAAGGCUAAAACUCAAAGGAAUUGACGGGGCCCCGCACAAGCGGCGGAGCAUGCGGAUUAAUUCGAUGCAACGCGUAGAACCUUACCUGGGUUUGACAUGGAUCGGGAGCGCUCAGAGAUGGGUGUGCCUCUUUUGGGGUCGGUUCACAGGUGGUGCAUGGCUGUCGUCAGCUCGUGUCGUGAGAUGUUGGGUUAAGUCCCGCAACGAGCGCAACCCUUGUUCACUGUUGCCAGCACGUUAUGGUGGGGACUCAGUGGAGACCGCCGGGGUCAACUCGGAGGAAGGUGGGGAUGACGUCAAGUCAUCAUGCCCCUUAUGUCCAGGGCUUCACGCAUGCUACAAUGGCUGGUACAGAGAGUGGCGAGCCUGUGAGGGUGAGCGAAUCUCGGAAAGCCGGUCUCAGUUCGGAUUGGGGUCUGCAACUCGACCUCAUGAAGUCGGAGUCGCUAGUAAUCGCAGAUCAGCAACGCUGCGGUGAAUACGUUCCCGGG
rnacentral:rRNA from 1 species